rnacentral:rRNA from 1 species
AUUAACUUAUUUAUUAAAAAAUUUAUUUUAUUUUUAUUUUUAAAAGAAAUAAAUUUAUUUUUAUUAUUAAAAAGAAAAAAUUGGUUUUAUGAUAGAGAAUAGUAUUGUGAAAGAAAAUAUUUUAAAUUUUUAAAAGAAACUUUUAUUUAGUGUACCUUGGGUAUCAGGGUUUAUUAAAAAAUACUAAAAUUUUAGUUGUCUCGAAUUUAAAAGAGCUAAUUUUUUAUUAAUUUUAUUGUAUCAUAAAUAUUUAAAAUAAAAAGUUAGUAAUGAAACGUUAUUCGUUUUUAAAUAUAUCUAGUUUUUUAAGAAAUAAGUUUAAUUUAAUUAAUAAAUAUUAUAAGUAUAAAUUUAUAUUUAUAUAAUUUUAUUAUUUUAUAAUUUAAGGGAAAAGCUUUAAAUUAAAUUUUUAUAAAACUUUAAUAGUUUAAUAAUUAAUAGGAUUAGAAAUUUUCAUUUUUAAAAUUAUGUUAUAAUAGAUUGUUAAAAUUUAAAAUUUUUAGAGUUUUUAAAUUUUUUAUUAAAAUUUUUAUUUAAAUUAUUAAUAUAAAUUAAUAAUGAUAAAAUUAGUAUAAUUUAAUUUUAAUUAAAUUUAAAAAUUUAAAUUUAAAUUAAGGAAUUCGGCAAUUAUUUUUUUACCUGUUUAUUAAAAACAUGUCUUUUUGAAAUUAAUUUAAAGUCUGACCUGCCCAAUGAUUUUUUGAAUGGCCGCAGUAUUUUGACUGUGCUAAGGUAGCAUAAUCAUUAGUUUUUUAAAUGAAAACUGGAAUGAAAGGUUUGAUAAAAAAAAAAUUGUCUCAAUUUGAAGUAUAAAAUUUUAUUUUUAAGUUAAAAAGCUUAAAUUAUUUAAAAAGACGAGAAGACCCUAUAGAGUUUGAUAAUUUAUUUUUUUAUUAUAUUUUAAGGUUAAUAUUUAUUUAAGAAAAUAAUUUAUUUUAUUGGGGUGAUAAAAAAAUUUAAAAAACUUUUUUUUUAAAAAUCAUAGAUUAAUGAAUAUUUGAUCCUUUUUUUAAGAUUAAAAGAAUAAAUUACCUUAGGGAUAACAGCGUAAUGUUUUUUGAGAGUUCUUAUCGAUAAAAAAGUUUGCGACCUCGAUGUUGGAUUAAAAUUUAAUUUUGGUGUAGAAGCUAAAAAUUUAGGUCUGUUCGACCUUUAAAAUUUUACAUGAUCUGAGUUUAAACCGGUGUGAGCCAGGUUGGUUUCUAUCUUUUAGUAAGAUUAAUAUUUUAGUACGAAAGGACCAAAUAUUAAAAUAAUAUUUUUUAUUAAGAAUAAAAAU